rnacentral:rRNA from 1 species
GACGAACGCUGGCGGCGUGCCUAAUACAUGCAAGUAGAACGCUGAAGAGAGGAGCUUGCUCUUCUUGGAUGAGUUGCGAACGGGUGAGUAACGCGUAGGUAACCUGCCUUGUAGCGGGGGAUAACUAUUGGAAACGAUAGCUAAUACCGCAUAACAAUGGAUGACACAUGUCAUUUAUUUGAAAGGGGCAAUUGUUCCACUACAAGAUGGACCUGCGUUGUAUUAGCUAGUAGGUGAGGUAAUGGCUCACCUAGGCGACGAUACAUAGCCGACCUGGGAGGGUGAUCGGCCACACUGGGACUGAGACACGGCCCAGACUCCUACGGGAGGCAGCAGUAGGGAAUCUUCGGCAAUGGGGGCAACCCUGACCGAGCAACGCCGCGUGAGUGAAGAAGGUUUUCGGAUCGUAAAGCUCUGUUGUAAGUCAAGAACGGGUGUGAGAGUGGAAAGUUCACACUGUGACGGUAGCUUACCAGAAAGAGACGGCUAACUACGUG